UCUCGCUCUGUCAUUGUAACGACACCACAGCUUGACCCAGCCACUGAACUGCCUAAUGCAACAAGAUGAUUGCAAUCAGCAGCCAUGGAAAUUAAUAGCACCAUUCUUUCAAUUUUUAAUGCAGUUUGAGAGACUUAAAUCAAAUCUGGUGGGGGACAAAGUAGCCAGUGAUGAAUUCAUGCAGGAAGCAGUGAGCACGUUACCUGCACUGUGGUUAUGCCUCGUGUCAGUGCUCCUAAAAGUCUGCUACCAGAGAAGCUUCAACAACUUUUUAGAGGGUCCAAAAAGGAUGCUACUUCCUUGGUUUUCAGUGGAUUUCUGCACAAAGUUCCCCCUGAAGACAGAUUUAGUGGCAUUGGCGUCAGCAGCCGAAGUGAUGGAUGGGCUUCACAGCUCAAACAGCCUUCAGGACAGCUGCUUGAAGAUAAGUGUCUAAGACUAGCAAUUUAUGCUUUCUCACAUUCCUAAGCCACAGGAUGUUCAUGGGGACCUUUUUUCUUUACUGUUAGCUUUGAAACAGGAGCAAAAUAGAA